CAGCAGCAGCCACAACUCCCUCCUUGGCCUUUGAAAGUCCUUUCAUGAAUACAUCCAUGGCUAAUGAAUUCCUUUACACCACACUGGAAAACAUAAAAUACACUUUGAAUGAGAACUUUCGGGGAAAAAUAAACAAAAAACACUGAAAAAUCAUGAGAAACCCUCCAAAGUGUGAGACUCUUUUAAGUGUACACUCAUUUAACCAUUGGACAAAGCAGACAUUUUUAGCUCUGGCAUUAAAAAUUUAGCAUCUCCCAUCCAUCUUGGCUAGUAAAAGUCUAGCCACCUAACCACGGAUUAGGAUGAAUCCUCUGAGUUGUUAUUACUGCAUUUCAGAAGUGGAGUUGCAUGAAAAGAUUAACCCCUUUUUUAAAUUCCCGGGGUCUAAAGGGUAACAGUAUGAGUUAGAAGCAUGGAAGCUGGAGGCUUAGGGUCAGGGGUAUCCUUAACAUGAAUCCCAGAAGAAGGCUAACAGGUUGAUGGUGGAAAGGCGUAGGCAACAGAACUAACUGCUCACUCGGGGUGUGGUUCAAACUCAGGCAAACAGCAGGCCCAAGUGUGAUGGUUCUAAUCCAUCCAACAUCCACCCCCGCCCUCAGCUAUCUACCCUGAGCAGGCGCCGCUCACACUCGCGGGCCGUCUCCAACCCCGCGCCAGCCACCCGAGGGGGCGUUCUCAGCCUCCACCCUAGCGGACCCCGCGCCAGCACUUGUUAACCCGUUACCACCUGUUGACUUGGCCUCCUUGCACUUCCAUUUCAUUAUUUGCCAAACGCAGCUUGCUUACUUUACAGAGAAAAACCAAGAGAGCGGGCAGACAGAUUUUAUGUGAGAGAAAAGUUGGAUGCUCACGCUCCAUGGAGCAUCCUCGCGUUUCCCGGGGAAAAGCGGAUCCCGGAGAAGCAGCCUAAUCUCUCAGCCCUUGUGGAGAAGGGAAUAUCAGAAGCAGGACGAAAGCCAGGUCAAGUCUCUUUCCUUAGGCUCCCCAAAGGGACAAGUACUCACCUCCCAGAGACCUGGCCCAGCGGGUCCUCAUGGCAGCACCACCCCCUCCCGGUGCCCACGACCAUUCGUCUCCCAUCCGGCGUUCUCCAGGAUUUCCAAAGACGCCCGUUUAGAUCCACAGAGCUGGAAGACAGCUGUUCCUGGAUCACACCAGAAUGGAGAAGCAAGCUCCUCCCACUAGCAGAAAGCCUUUGCUUUCUGUGCCUGGAUUCGGAAGAUUAGUUAAGCACUGGAAGAGGAGGGGGGAAACAACAACUCGUUUUUGCUUUUUAGAAAGAAAAAAACACAUUAAUGAGCCCAAGAAAUACACGCAACUCUGCAACUCUGUAGAUUUCCACCUGUUCCCAUCCUCCACAGUCUCCCAUCCCACCAGCAACACACGUGAGAUAUCUGAUGCCUUCCCAUCAAUAACUCUCACUUAGUAUGGGUAAGCAAAAAAUUUCCAACCAGGGAUGGAAGUUGUGGAGAGAUAGAGUGGGAAAGCUCAAGGAGCAUUGAUAGGGAUCAUUAAUUAAAAAUCUACCAAACAUCUCUUUCUCUCCCUAAUGUGCGAGUUACAAUAACAUCACUCAAAGCAGUUUGCAGCCACAGCUUG
rnacentral:lncRNA from 1 species